CGGGGAGGGCUUCGGAGGAGGUGGCCACCCGGACCAACCAGGUGAUUCUCAUGGUGAGGGGAGGGGUCUCACCUGUCACCGGAAAUGGGGCUCUGACUUUUGCCCACCUGUCAAUCAUGUCGUGGACCCGCCCCCUCGCUUCCUGUCAGUGCUGCGCUCUCCCGCCCGCCUGUCAAUCAUUUCCUGCUCCCGCCCCUCACUUCCUGCCUUUCCCACAUUUACUUCCUGUCUAAGCUGGUCCCACCCCGCAGGCUCCACCCCCCUGGCGGCCAUCUUGUCUCCUGCGGUCUCGGUUGUGGUCCUAGCGCUGCUCGGCGCGGGGGUCGGAUUCGUCCGCUCGGGGCGUGGCCCCCGUUGGUGCCUAGGGAACCGCGGGCCCCGGGAGUCGGCGCCAGUGUGAGAAGGACGUCGCUCUGACCUCUGCGCGACUCCCGGACGACGACGUUGCCGCGCCGGGUUGUGGAAUGGGGGCGGGUGGGGUCGGGUCCUGGGACCUCCGGCUGAGGCAAGAUGGCUGCCGCCCAGGAGAGAGCGGGGACUUCCUGUUUUGGCUCUGCCUCGGGUCCUCUGACCCGGGUGUGGGAAUAAAGCGAAGGCAUGGCCCCUCACACGG
rnacentral:sRNA from 1 species